rnacentral:rRNA from 1 species
GAUGAACGCUGGCGGCGUGCCUAAUACAUGCGAGUCGAGCGAACAGACGCGGAGCUUGCUCCUCUGACGUUAGCGGCGGACGGGUGAGUAACACGUGGAUAACCUACCUAUAAGACUGGGAUAACUUCGGGAAACCGGAGCUAAUACCGGAGAAUAUAUUUAACGGCAUGGUUCAAGAGUGAAAGACGGUUUUGCUGUCACUUAUAGAUGGAUCCGCGCCGCAGUAGCUAGUUGGUAAGGUAACGGCUUAACAAGGCAACGAUGCGUAGCCGACCUGAGAGGGUGAUCGGCCCCACUGGAACUGAGACACGGUACAGACUCCUACGGGAGGCAGCAGUACGGAAUCUUCCGCAAUGGGCGAAAGCCUGACGGAGCAACGCCGCGUGAGUGAUGAACGUCUUCGGAUCGUAAAACUCUGUUAUUAGGGAAGAACCAAUGUGUAAGUAACUAUGCACGUCUUGACGGUACCUAAUCAGAAAGCCCCGGCUAACUACGUG